UACGAAGGGUGCAAGCGUUACUCGGAAUUACUGGGCGUAAAGCGUGCGUAGGCGGUUCGUUGUGUCUGUGGUGAAAGCCCCGGGCUUAACCUGGGAAUGGCCAUGGAAACUGGCGAGCUGGAGUGUGGCAGAGGGGGGUGGAAUUCCGCGUGUAGCAGUGAAAUGCGUAGAGAUGCGGAGGAACACCGAUGGCGAAGGCAGCCCCCUGGGCUAACACUGACGCUGAGGCACGAAAGCGUGGGGAGCAAACAGG
rnacentral:rRNA from 1 species